rnacentral:rRNA from 1 species
UACGGAGGGGCAAGCGUUGUUCGGAAUUACUGGGCGUAAAGCGCGUGUAGGCGGCCUGUUAAGUCUGACGUGAAAUCCCUGGGCUCAACCCAGGAACUGCAUCGGAAACUGACAGGCUAGAGUCCGGGAGAGGGUAGCGGAAUUCCUGGUGUAGAGGUGAAAUGCGUAGAUAUCGUGGAGGAAUACCGGUGGCGAAGGCGGCAUCCUGGACCGGCAUUGACGCUGAUGAGCGAAAGCUAGGGGAGCAAACGG